AACCAUCCUUAAUUAAAUUUUUGAAUUGAACCCAAUACAGGCAAUCCUAAUUCUUUCUCUACAUCUUCUUCAUCUUUAAUUCGCUUAUCGAAAAUUACUUUGAAGAAGAUAUAUAUAAGCGCGACAACUAAUCCUAAAAAGAAUGCACCGAUUAGAUUCACUACAGUUUUUGGUGCGACUUUAACUGCUGUA
rnacentral:sRNA from 1 species